rnacentral:rRNA from 1 species
CCUACGGGGAGCUGCAGUGGGGAAUAUUGCACAAUGGGGGGAACCCUGAUGCAGCAAUGCCGCGUGGGUGAUGAAGCACUUCGGUGCGGAAAGCCCUGUCAGCAGGGAAGAAAAUGACAGUACCUGGACAAGAAGCCCCGGCUAACUCCGUGCCAGCAGCCGUGGUAAUACGUAGGGGGCAAGCGUUAUCCGGAUUUCCUGGGUGUAAGGGGAGCGCAGGCGGCGUGGCAAGUCAGAUGUGAAAACCCGGGGCCAAACCCCGGGAGUGCAUUUGAAACUGCCAUGCUGGAGUGCCGGAGAGGUAAGCGGAAUUCGUAGUGUAGCGGUGAAAUGCGUAGAUAUUAGGAGGAACACCGGUGGCGGAGGCGGCUUACUGGACGGUAACUGACGCUGAGGCUCGAAAGCGUGGGGAGCAAACAGGAUUAGAUACCCGUGUAGUC